rnacentral:tRNA from 1 species
AGUCUUAUAUUCAACUAUGAUUUUAAAUUGCAAGUUUAAAGGUGGGACCACUCUAAGGCUU